UGAGUUAAUAAUAAUAAUAGGUGCCUUGGAUGAUAUUUUUAUUUUAAAAACCUGAGAGAGAGCAGCAGCAAAGAUAAAAUGGCAACAGGGUCUGUGAAAGCGGUGGCUCUCAUCACCGGAGACUCUAAUGUUAGAGGCUCUCUUCAUUUCAUUCAAGAACCAAACGGGGCAACACAUGUGACAGGGAGGAUAGCUGGCUUAUCACCAGGCCUUCAUGGGUUUCAUAUUCAUGCUCUUGGUGAUACCACCAAUGGCUGCAAUUCCACUGGACCUCAUUUCAAUCCAUUAAAGAAGGACCAUGGAGCUCCAUGUGAUAAUGAACGUCAUGCUGGAGAUUUGGGGAACAUCAUUGCAGGCUCAGAUGGUGUUGCAGAAGUUUCGAUCACAGACUUUCAGAUACCACUGAGUGGGAUGCAUUCCAUAUUGGGGAGGGCUGUUGUUGUGCAUGCUGAUCCUGAUGAUCUUGGAAAAGGUAAAGGCUUCUAGAUUUGGCUGCAAAAUAUUUGCAUGUUACCUCAGAUACUAUCACUAGCUUCGCAGAAAACUAGGUGGACAUGAUCUUAGCAAGACAACUGGGAAUGCAGGUGCAAGGGUUGGAUGUGGCAUCAUUGGGCUCAAAUCAUCUGUUUAGGUUUGAUACUUAGUUGAUGGAUUUCUUCAUGCAAGAUGUUCUUUCGGUAAAGACAGAAACAACUAAAAGAAGGAUGUCAUUGUAAGUUUUGAAGGGUGAUCCAAUAUACUUGUUCGAAACUGUAAUCUCCUAAUAACAAAGUCUAUGUAAUAUCUUCGAAUAUGCAAUUUGUCAAUAUAUCAUAAUGGCUUGGAAAGCUUUCCCUGGACACAA